UGACCAGAAAAUCAAAUCGGCCAUGUAUUGGAUUCAACUGAAAUGCACAUAUUAUCUCCUUAUUCAAAUGCGGCUGCAAGUUCUUCUCCAUCCAGAAGAGUAUCGGGGAGCUGAAAUUGAUGUGAUUAUAUACUUCAAGUAAUUAUUUCUGUUUCUUAGUGCUCCAGUUUGCCGAAGCUUCUUUAGUUAAGAACCACCUCUUAACUUAAUAUUUCUCUUUCCUUUGACUUCAGAAGUUAAAGUAUGUUCUUAACGUAAUUCCUCUCUUGCUUUUGACUUAUGAAGUUACUAUGGUUCUUAACUUAGUUCUCUUACAUUUGACUCGAGUAGUUGAAUUCUGUUCUUGAUUCCUUGGAAGGCGUUGGUUAUUUCUCCGUUUGUGUGACCAUGGGGAACUUAUAUCAACCAACCAAUUACUUGGAUCUAUAUUUUGCGCCCAUGUUCUAUUAUUUGUAAUUUUUGUAUCAACCAAAGCACUAAGUUGCAUGGAACUCAGUUGUCCGCUCAUGUUGUUUCUGAAUCUCUAUCAUCUCAUGAGGGCUGUGGAAAUGAUGAUACUGAUGUGACUACAGACACAUUUACUGCAGAGUUCCAAGAGGCACCUCCCAUGCCACACUAUAAUUGUUUACUGCAUAUACCACAGGCAAUCUACAAUUUCCAUUUCAGGAUAUAUUUCGAGGUGAUGAGAUCGGACAUCCCAGAUCAUCUCCCUGCUUCGUAGGAGUGCCAUAUGGUGAAGUUUUAUGUGAUAACAACACAGGAGCUGCAAGCUUACCUGUUCAUUAUCUUGAUGGUUGCUUCUGAAGCGCACAUAUAGCUGGGGCAUUAGUCGAACAGUUCUGUAACAACAUUCUAUCUAUAUAAGUGCCAGUACCGUGUAAUCUGUCAGUACCAUCCAACUCUCCAGAUUUCCUAAACCCUCCUACUGUGAGCAUGAUAUAGACGUUGGGUUUGCCUGAUUGCUUCUGCUGGCUAGGCUUAGCCCAGCAAGCUCCCAAAUCCCUUUCAGUUGCCGAGGGACAUGUAAAUUAUAAGAUAUACAUUGGUUUUGUUCUCCACAAUGAACAUAUGUAACCUGAUCUAAACUGCGCAAAGAGUUCGGGAAACUUUGAGCAAUAUUACUAU